rnacentral:rRNA from 1 species
UACGGAGGGGGCGAGCGUUGUUCGGAAUUACUGGGCGUAAAGGGCGCGUAGGCGGCCUGUUGCGUCGGGUGUGAAAGCCCUGGGCUCAACCUGGGAGGUGCACUCGAAACGGGCAGGCUUGAAACCGAGAGAGGAUCGUGGAAUUCCCAGUGUAGAGGUGAAAUUCGUAGAUAUUGGGAAGAACACCAGAGGCGAAGGCGGCGAUCUGGCUCGGUUUUGACGCUGAGGCGCGACAGCGUGGGGAGCAAAC